rnacentral:rRNA from 1 species
UACGUAGGGGGCGAGCGUUGUCCGGAAUCAUUGGGCGUAAAGGGCGCGUAGGCGGAUAGUUAAGUCCGAUGUGAAAUACCAAGGCUCAACCUUGGGGCUGCAUCGGAAACUGGUUAUCUUGAGGACAGGAGAGGAAAGUGGAAUUCCACGUGUAGCGGUGAAAUGCGUAGAUAUGUGGAGGAACACCAGUGGCGAAGGCGACUUUCUGGACUGUAACUGACGCUGAGGCGCGAAAGCGUGGGGAGCAAACAGG